AUCACUUCUCAGCCUUUUGGCUAAGAUCAAACAUAGAAGCUAUUACCAGAUUAAUAGCUGAUACAUCCCCUGCACGGGGGCAGUAUUUGAGGCAGUUUUUCCUAGUGGAUAGAGCACAGGCCUGGGACUUGGAGAUCUGGUUUCUAUUCCCAGCUUUGCCACUGGAAUGUUGGGCGACCUUGGGCAAGUCAU
rfam:Chelonia mydas contig169668, whole genome shotgun sequence.